GUCAUGGAGAGUUUGAUCCUGGCUCAGGACGAACGCUGGCGGCGUGCGUAAUACAUGCAAGUCGAGCGGACCUUCGGGUCAGCGGCGGACGGGUGAGGAACACGUGAGUGAUCUAUCGAUGAGUGGGGGAUAUCGGGCCGAAAGGCGCGGCAAUCCCGCAUACGUUCCUGCGGGAAGAAAGCUGGGCAACUGGCGCUCAUCGCGGAGCUCGCGGCCCAUUAGCUAGUUGGGGGGGUAACG
rnacentral:rRNA from 1 species